UACGUAGGGUGCGAGCGUUGUCCGGAAUUACUGGGCGUAAAGAGCUCGUAGGUGGUUUGUCGCGUUGUUCGUGAAAACUCACAACUCAAUUGUGGGCGUGCGGGCGAUACGGGCAGACUGGAGUACUGCAGGGGAGACUGGAAUUCCUGGUGUAGCGGUGGAAUGCGCAGAUAUCAGGAGGAACACCGGUGGCGAAGGCGGGUCUCUGGGCAGUAACUGACGCUGAGGAGCGAAAGCCGUGGGGGAGCGAACAGG
rnacentral:rRNA from 1 species